UACUCCUACGGGAGGCGGCAGUGGGGAAUAUUGGACAAUGGGCGCAAGCCUGAUCCAGCCAUACCGCGUGGGUGAAGAAGGCCUUCGGGUUGUAAAGCCCUUUUGUUGGGAAAGAAAUCCAGCUGGCUAAUACCCGGUUGGGAUGACGGUACCCAAAGAAUAAGCACCGGCUAACUUCGUG
rnacentral:rRNA from 1 species